AGAGUUUGAUCCUGGCUCAGGACGAACGCUGGCGGCGUGCUUAACACAUGCAAGUCAAGGAGAACGGAUCCUUCGGGAUACUAUUAAACUGGCGAACGGGUGAGUAACACGUAGGCAACCUACCUCAGAGAUUGGGAUAACUUCGGGAAACCGGAGCUAAUACCGAAUAAUGCAGCGGAUCCUUCGGGAUAUGUUGUUAAAGUGGGCUUCGGCUCACACUUUGAGAUGGGCCUGCGUCCGAUUAGCUUGUUGGUGAGGUAAUGGCUUACCAAGGCGAUGAUCGGUAGCUGGUCUGAGAGGAUGAUCAGCCACACUGGGAUUGAGAUACGGCCCAGACUCCUACGGGAGGCAGCAGUGGGGAAUUUUGCGCAAUGGACGAAAGUCUGACGCAGCAACGCCGCGUGAUCGAUGAAGCUUCUAGGAGUGUAAAGAUCUGUCGUGAGGGAAGAAAAAUCUGGAUGUAAAUAAUGUUCAGACGUGACGGUACCUCACAAGAAAGCACCGGCUAACUUCGUGCCAGCAGCCGCGGUAAUACGAGGGGUGCUAGCGUUGUCCGGAAUUACUGGGCGUAAAGGGUUCGUAGGCGUCUUGCCAAGUUGAUCGUUACAGCCACCGGCUUAACCGGUGAUCUGCGAUCAAAACUGGUAAGAUAGAAUAUGUGAGGGGAAUGUGGAAUUCCUGGUGUAGCGGUGACAUGCGUAGAUAUCAGGAGGAACACCAAUGGCGAAGGCAGCAUUCUGGCACAAUAUUGACGCUGAGGAACGAAAGCGUGGGGAGCGAACAGGAUUAGAUACCCUGGUAGUCCACGCCGUAAACGAUGAGUACUUGGUGGUGGGGGAUUCGACCCCUUCACUAUCGGAGCUAACGCGUUAAGUACUCCGCCUGGGGACUACGGCCGCAAGGCUGAAACUCAAAGGAAUUGACGGGGACCCGCACAAGCGGUGGAACAUGUGGUUUAAUUCGAUGCAACGCGAAGAACCUUACCUGGACUUGACAUGU
rnacentral:rRNA from 1 species